CUCAUCUCAGUUCGGAUUGCAGGCUGAAACUCGCCUGUAUGAAGAUGGAGUUGCUAGUAAUCGCGAAUCAGAAUGUCGCGGUGAAUACGUUCCCGGGCCUUGUACACACCGCCCGUCAAACCAUGAGAGUUGGCAACACCCGAAGUCGGUAGUCUAACCGCAAGGAGGACGCCGCCGAAGGUGGGGUUGAUGAUUAGGGUUAAGUCGUAACAAGGUAGC
rnacentral:rRNA from 1 species